UGGGGAAUAUUGGACAAUGGGGGCAACCCUGAUCCAGCGAUGCCGCGUGAGUGAUGAAGGCCUUCGGGUUGUAAAGCUCUUUUGCACGCGACGAUGAUGACGGUAGCGUGAGAAUAAGCCCCGGCUAACUCUGUGCCAGCAGCCGCGGUAAUACAGAGGGGGCUAGCGUUGUUCGGAAUGACUGGGCGUAAAGGGCGCGUAGGUGGCCCAACAAGUCAGAUGUGAAAGGCCUAGGCUUAACCUGGGGAUG
rnacentral:rRNA from 1 species